UUUGUGUUUCUCAGUGAAAUUUUCGACUUUUUAAUAUAACCUCAAGUUAAUGUCUUGAUAAAGGGAAUAAACAUUCUCGAAAGCUCGACCAUA